rnacentral:rRNA from 1 species
GGGGGGGGGGGGGGGGGGGGGGGGGGGGGGGGGGGCGGGCGGGGGGGGGGGGGGGGGGGGGGGUGCGCGAGGGGCGAGCGGGUGGGGAACAGGUGAGUAAGGGGCCCUUGACGGGGGGGUAGCGUCGGGAAGCUGGGGCUAAUACCGGAUAGGAGCUCGUGCUGCAUGGUGGGGGUUGGAAAGUUUGGGCGGUUGGGGAUGGACUCGCGGCUUACCAGCUUGUUGGUGGGGUAGUGGCUUACCAAGGCUUUGACGGGUAGCCGGCCUGAGAGGGUGACCGGCCACAUUGGGACUGAGAUACGGCCCAGACUCCUACGGGAGGCAGCAGUGGGGAAUAUUGCACAAUGGGCGGAAGCCUGAUGCAGCAACGCCGCGUGCGGGAUGACGGCCUUCGGGUUGUAAACCGCUUUCGCCUGUGACGAAGCGUGAGUGACGGUAAUGGGUAAAGAAGCACCGGCUAACUACGUG